rnacentral:rRNA from 1 species
AUUGAACGCUGGCGGCAGGCUUAACACAUGCAAGUCGAGCGGAGUGAUGGUGCUUGCACUAUCACUUAGCGGCGGACGGGUGAGUAAUGCUUAGGAAUCUGCCUAUUAGUGGGGGACAACAUCUCGAAAGGGAUGCUAAUACCGCAUACGUCCUACGGGAGAAAGCAGGGGAUCACUUGUGACCUUGCGCUAAUAGAUGAGCCUAAGUCGGAUUAGCUAGUUGGUGGGGUAAAGGCCUACCAAGGCGACGAUCUGUAGCGGGUCUGAGAGGAUGAUCCGCCACACGGGGACUGAGACACGGCCCAGACGCCUACGGGAGGUAGCAGUGGGGAAUAUUGGACAAUGGGGGGAACCCUGAUCCAGCCAUGCCGCGUGUGUGAAGAAGGCCUUAUGGCUGUAAAGCACUUUAAGCGAGGAGGAGGCUCUUUUGGUUAAUACCCAGAAUGAGUGGACGUUACUCGCAGAAUAAGCACCGGCUAACUCUGUGCCAGCCGCCGCAGUAACAC